AAUAGAUACCCGGGUAGUCCUUGCCGUAAACUAUGUGUACUUGAUGUAGUUGGGCUCAACCCCGACUGUGUCGUAGCGAACGCGAUAAGUACACCGCCUGGGGAGUACACUCGCAAGGGUGAAACUCAAAAGAAUUGACGGGGACCCGCACAAGCAGUGGAGUAUGUGGUUUAAUUCGAUGCAACGCGAAGAACCUUACCUAGGCUUGACAUACAAGAGAUCGCUCCAGAAAUGGAGAAUCCCCGCAAGGGGCUCUUGAACAGGUGCUGCAUGGCUGUCGUCAGCUCGUGCCGUGAGGUGUUGGGUUAAGUCCCGCAACGAGCGCAACCCUUGUCGUUAGUUGCCAGCGAGUAAUGUCGGGCACUCUAGCGAGACUGCCUCGGUUAACGAGGAGGAAGGUGAGGAUGACGUCAAGUCCGCAUGGCCCUUAUGCCUAGGGCUACACACGUACUACAAUGGUCGGUACGAGAAGGAAGCGAAGCCGCGAGGUGGAGCAAAUCCCCAAAACCGGCCUCAGUUCAGGAUUGUAGUCUGA
rnacentral:rRNA from 1 species